rnacentral:rRNA from 1 species
UACGUAGGGGGGCAAGCGUUGUCCGGAAUUAUUGGGCGUAAAGCGCGUGUAGGCGGCUUUGCAAGUCGGAUGUGAAAGCCCUCGGCUCAACCGAGGAAGUGGCGUUCGAAACUGCAGAGCUUGAGUGCCGGAGAGGGUGGCGGAAUUCCCCAAGUAGAGGUGAAAUUCGUAGAUAUGGGGAGGAACACCGGUGGCGAAGGCGGCAUCCUGGACCGACACUGACGCUGAGGAGCGAAAGCCAGGGGAGCAAACGGG